rnacentral:rRNA from 1 species
GACGAACGCUGGCGGCGUGCUUAACACAUGCAAGUCGAACGGUGAAAGCGGAGCUUGCUCCGCUGGAUCAGUGGCGAACGGGUGAGUAACACGUGGGCAACCUGCCCCUCACUUCGGGAUAACUCCGGGAAACCGGGGCUAAUACCGGAUAUGACCUCCUUGGGCAUCCUUGGAGGUGGAAAGUUUUUCGGUGAGGGAUGGGCCCGCGGCCUAUCAGCUUGUUGGUGAGGUAGUGGCUCACCAAGGCGACGACGGGUAGCCGGCCUGAGAGGGCGACCGGCCACACUGGGACUGAGACAAGGCCCAGACUGCUACGGGAGGCAGCAGUGGGGAAUAUUGCGCAAUGGGCGAAAGCCUGACGCAGCAACGCCGCGUGCGGGAUGACGGCCUUCGGGUUGUAAACCGCUUUCAGCAGGGAAGAAGCCGCAAGGUGACGGUACCUGCAGAAGAAGCACCGGCUAACUACGUGCCAGCCGCCGCUGUAA